AUGUCCAAACAGACAAUCUCUACACUAAACUUCACCAACGAUAUCGAUACAAUUUUGAAUUUUUUUUGCCAGAAAAAGACGAGCAAGCUUCGAAUCCGACGGUGGCCGUCCCUUCGGAACACACUCUCGUCGGUGACUUCAUCACCACUUUUAACACAACUUUGGCCGCACAACAACACAAUAAUUCAACAACCUCCAAUCGACUGGUCAUCAGCCAACAACGAAAACAACCUCAAUGCAAUCACGUCUAGAUCCACUCGCCAUCAUCUUCUGACCAACGCUUCACGAUCGGACCACUCCUUUACAAUUUGGGUCUGUCUCAAAGUUAUAACUUUUGAUCUAUUUGUUUUUUAUGGUGUUGAGUUUUAA